rnacentral:lncRNA from 1 species
AAAAAGAUAAAGGCAAGUGAACUGAGAAAACGAUAUAUACCUCUCCCAAAUCUGAGGCAUUCUUCUUGUUGGCCUUUCUGGAAUUUGUUUUUAUUUUAUUUUAUUUUUGAAUUUGGUUAUGUUGAGUAAUAGUGGGGGGAUGAUACUAUAAGAGACAAAACCAUGUCCUAAAAGUUUGGGUUGUACAUUCUUAUUGUCUGCCUAUUCAGCUCACCUGGCCC